rnacentral:tRNA from 1 species
GCCUCCGUAGCUCAAUGGAUAGAGCUAUCCCGUCCUAAGGGAGAAAUGACAGUUCGAUUCUGCCCGGGGGCACAA